UACAUGUGACCCAGCUUCAUAGAUUACCUUCUAUAGAAGAAAAAAGGCACAGUUAAUUUCACCGACUGCUGGAUCAGAGGAAACAGUUAUUUCCCUGGAAGCCCAUCAUACAACUGUUUCUAUUUCCUACUGUCAUGGAGAAGAUCUGCCAUCUGCUGGUUGUCUGAAACGUAGUAAGAUGAAGGUUUUGUGCCACACGCUCAAAAAAGAAUAUAAAACGAAGAAGCACGUGAUACUAAAGCUUUCUACAUUCAACAUCAUAAGGAUCUCUCUUAAAGAAUUGCUGUAGGACUAACACUGAUUAUAAUUUGUCUUAAACAUAAUGUGGUGAAACAGAGGAACAGAAGUUGUCCAUCUUUGUGCAGACUAAGGAAUUACAAUGUUUAUUUUGUGAGCUAAAACAGUUUUGC
rnacentral:lncRNA from 1 species